GAUAGACAUCUGGGCAAGUCAACAGGAAGGUGGAUAUCCAAAUCUCUCUCUUCGCAAUGAGUUUCCAGUUAGAUGGAGGAGAGAGUAAUAAAACACAGAGCUGAGAUUCCUGACUUCACAGAUCCCUGAGGAGAUGUUUACUAAAGGGAAUCUUCUGGUCACUGUUACCUUCCUCCGUACUUACCUGCCUCAUGGAUAACACUGAAGAAUGCAGUUUACUUACAUCUUUUUCUGUUUGACAGAAGACAGUUAUUAUGGACUCCUGCACAUUCACAGUCCUGGAAGGAGCCUGUCCACAUUGGCAUUCUGGAAGUCCAUAAAAGACAAACGCAUAUGCAGUCCCCGAGAAAGCAUUGUUGUAAACAAAUCUGCACUAGAUGGAAACUCUGUUAUGUGGUGCCGGCAUGCAUGGAAGAGAACCCGAAAGGAAGAAGCUAUACGACUGGGGACACAUGUCUUAGAAGCACACUCAUUAGAUAAAGUGUCGCAUACUCUUUGAUAAGUGACUCAGAACACCCGUGUCCUUCCCAACAUUGGAUGCAAUGCUAAAGACAUGAUGUUGCUCCUGCUGGACCACACCUUGAAGGAAUUGCCUACCCCACCUCACCUCCAAAAUUAAAGUCUUUCGUUUUGACAAAAGUUAAUGAUAAGGUUUGAUGUGCUAAUUUCAGCACCUCCACUUCAUGUCUACACUGUGGACAUAUACUUUUUUGUUGUUUUGGGGUUUUUGUCAUGUUUCACUCACUUUCUCUAUUAUUCUUUAUAGCAGGACUUGCUUUAGAGUCAUUACUUUCUGUUAAAGUUGUUCCUUCAAAAGUUGACAAUUACUGGCUGGGCACGGUGGCUCACGCCUGUAAUCCCAGCACUUUGGGAGGCUGAGGCGGGUGGAUCACCUGAGAUUGGGAGUUCGAGACCAGCCUGACCAACACGGAGAAACCCCGUCUCCAUUAAAAAUACAAAAUUAGCCAGGCGUGGUGGUGCAUGCCUGUAAUCCCAGCUACUCGGGAGGCUGAGGCAGGAGAAUCGCUUGAACCCGGGAGGCAGAGGUUGCAGUGAGCCAAGAUCACGCCACUGCACUCCAGCCUGGGCAACAAAGAGUGAAACUGUCUAAAAAAAAAAAGCUGACAAUUACUUUUCAUUGGCUUCUUCACACCUAACACCUAUCUUUUCACACAAGGCAGAAAUAAAUUGCUAUUAGCUAAUCUGCUAAAUCCACUUAGAAAUAUAAUCAAGAAAAAGGAAAACAUCCUUGUGUCCAAGGCAUUCUG
rnacentral:lncRNA from 10 species